CUGAAACCUGAUAAAGAUAAACACUGCGAGUACAUGCAUGCUCUUCCAAUUAGAUCCAAAUCAAGACAAAAAACAAAAACCCUUAUAUCAAAAGAGCUUGUUCAAUGUGGGUUAUAUAUAUAUAUAUAGUAAAAUAAUUUAGUGUUGUCUAAGCAAUUAACACCAUAUUUAAAAAGCAAAACAACUACAAGAAAUAAACUUAUCAAGCACGAAAUUAUUCAUCAUGAUUUUAUCCCAAUUAUCUCCAUGCAUCUCUACUCCCUCAAAAGAGUAACCAAACAUUAUUUAUUUAUUUUUUAAGAAAUAAAUUUACCAUUUAAUUUGCAAGCAGUAUACAUGUGAGUUCUCUUAGACCUGAUGCACAUGCAAAGAACAAGCAGUGAUCUAUGGCAUAUAAUAUUUGUUUUGAAAAACAAAAUUCUGGUGAUCAAUGGAUACAAAAGUGCUUCUUGCUUUCAUUUUUUCGAACAAAAUAAAAGCCUUUCUAUAUAAUUGAUCAUGCCUGAUUUUCAAGAUGAGAAAAUACUCUAUGAACAAGGGAAAAUAAAUAUCGGAAGGACAUGUAGAAGCAUCGAAGUAAUACAUAAAAGUUUAGCA